UACGUAGGGUGCGAGCGUUAAUCGGAAUUACUGGGCGUAAAGCGUGCGCAGGCGGUUUGUAAGCCAGGUGUGAAAUCCCCGGGCUCAACCUGGGAAUGGCAUUUGGGACUGCAAGGCUGGAGUGCGGCAGAGGAGACUGGAAUUCCUGGUGUAGCAGUGAAAUGCGUAGAUAUCAGGAGGAACACCGAUGGCGAAGGCAGGUCUCUGGGCUGACACUGACGCUCAUGCACGAAAGCGUGGGGAGCAAACAGG
rnacentral:rRNA from 1 species